UUCCCAGAAUUAUGGUACUCCUGGCGCCACCAGAUCCACGCUUUCGCCUCCCUCGGCUACCGAGCCCUGGCUCCUGACCUCCGUGGUUACGGCGACAGCGACGCGCCGGCGGAUGUGGGCAGCUACACCUGUCUCCACGUGGUCGGCGACCUCAUCGGAGUUCUGGACGCCAUGGGCGCCAAUAAGGUGUUCGUGGUUGGACAUGAUUGGGGAGCCAUUAUCGCUUGGUACCUGUGUUUGUUUCGGCCGGACAGAGUGAAGGCUUUGGUGAAUAUGAGCGUCCCUUCCUUCCUAGUGUUCAAAUCGAUAAAUAAUAGUUUUUUCAUUCAUAUUUUCAUUCGUUCAUAUACAGAGUAUAUAUAGAGGUAUCGUCAUUCUAAGAAUGGGAAAGAAUGAUACAAGGAAAGAAUGACAUAAGCAAAUAACAAUUAAUAUCCUAAUAUCUCAAUAUUCAUAAUAUCUCAACUUUCCUAAUAUCUAAACAUUCCUAAUAUCUCAACACUAAAUGAUAUAAGGAAAUAAUGAUAUAAAGAAAGCAUUCCUAAUAUCUCAACACUCCCCCUCAACUUGGUGCAUAGAUGUCACACAUGCCCAACUUGUCUAAAAAUUUUGAGAACACUUGACUUGAGACAGCUUUGGUAAGGAUAUCGGCCAAUUGAUCUUCUGAUCGAAUCUUAGGCAAUUCCACAAUCUUAUCAUCCAACUUUUCCUUAAUGAAGAAUCUAUCACAUCGACAUGUUUUGUACGAUCAUAUUGUACUAGAUUAUAAGCAAUGUCACACGCGGCUUUAUUAUCACAAAACAAUCGGAUUAGUUGCCUAGAUAGGUAACCUAAAUCUUGUAAGAGGAGUCUUAGCCAUAAUGCCUCACAAAGUCCUAGAGUCAUACCUCUAAAUUCUGUUUCUGCACUUGAACGAGCGGCAACAUUUUGCUUCUUACUUUUCCAUGUUACAAGAUUACCACCUACAAAGGUAAAGUAACCAGAUGUAGAUCGCCUAUCAUCCACUACACCGGCCCAAUCAGCAUCAGUAUAUACUUCUAUACUUUCAUGAUCAACAUUGUUAGCGAACAAAAUUCCCUUCCCAGGAGCAUUCUUCAAAUACCUCAAAAUACACAUGACUGCAUUCAUAUGUUGCUCUCCAGGAUUAUGCAUGUAUUGACUCACUACACUCAAUGCAUAAGCAAGAUCUGGUCUUGUAUGAGUUAAGUACAUUAAUCUCCCCACAAGUCUCUGGUAUCUUCCCUUAUCGGUUGAUACUUCAUUAGGCUCAACACACAAUUUCAGACCUUCUUCUAUUAGUGUAUUAAUAGGUUGACAUCCCGACAUUCCAGUUUCCUGUAAAAGAUCUAAGACAUACUUUCUUUGAGACAGAAAAAUUCCUUCACUUAAUCGAGAAACUUCAAUCCCAAGAAAGCAUUUUAAAGGACCUAGAUCUUUCAUUUCGAAUUCUCUAGAUAGAUAAUUUUGCAGAACUUUUCUUUCUUCAUGAUCAUUUCCUAUAACUACCAUGUCAUCCACAUAUACGAUGAGUGCGGUAAUCUUACCAUGUUGCUUUUUCAGGAACAAAGUGUGAUCUGAAUUACUUUGAUGAUAUCCAAAAGCUCUCAUUGACUUUGUGAACCUUCCAAAUCAUGCUCUCGGGGAUUGCUUCAACCCAUACAAUGACUUCUUCAAUUUGCACACCUUCUGACAUUGCUUUUCUGACACCAUGCAUCAUGGUGGAAGAUCCAUAUAUACUUCUUCAGAUAACUCGCCAUGCAGAAAGGCAUUUUUCGCAUCAAAUUGUUGUAAUGGCCAAUCUAGGUUUGCAGCUAAAGACAGUAAUACUCGAACUGUGUUGAUCUUAGCUACAGGUGCAAAUGUCUCUGUGUAGUCAAUUCCAUAAGUUUGAGUGUACCCUUUUGCUACCAGUCUUGCUUUAAAUCGUUCAAUACUACCAUCUGCCUUGUACUUCACAAUAUAGAUCCAACGACACCCAACUGGCUUCUUUCCUGGUGGACAUUCUACGAGUUCCCAUGUUUCAUUCUUCUGCAAUGAUUUCAUCUCUUCAUUCAUGGCUACUUUCCACCUUGGAUCAGCUAAGGCUUCCUGCACACUGUUAGGAAUAGCUACAAUAGAUAAUUGAUUUAUAAAUGACUUGUUUGAUUCAGACAAACGAUAGUUAGACACAUAGUUGCUCAUGAGAUAUUUGACUUUGGUAGACAAUUCAGGUUCAUAUGUGGGUUUAGGAAUACCUCUAUUAUGACGGUGUGAUAACCGUUUUAUGAAUGGAUCAGGUUCCAAAUUAAGAACACCCUCAACAGACGACGAUUGGUUUGGUAUUUCAGUGAAGACAUCUUCGGACCCAAAUUGUUGACCACUCAUAUCCAACUCACCCACUUCCUGGUUCACUAGUUCAGAUUGUCCAAAUUCAUCUUCCUCAGAUAUAUGAUAAUUAUAAUCGAGAGUCUGAAUUUCCUUAUGGUACUCUCCCUGAAGUUCAGACUCAGAUGAAAAAUACAUCGAAUCUUCAUGAAACACCACAUCCAUUGUAAUAUACACUUUUCGAGUUGGAGGAUGGUAACAUCAAUAUCCCUUUUUGUGCAAUGCAUAUCCAACAAAUACACAUUGUAAUGCAUGAGAAGUUAACUUGGUGCAUUGGUGCUUGUGUAAAUGCACAAAUGCCACGUAACUAAAAACACGAGGAGGUAGAUUUGGGACAGUUGGGGCAACUACGACAUUAGUAAGAGCUUGGAGUGGUGUUUGAAAGUUAAUUGAGCUAGAAGGUACCCGAUUGAUCAAGUAUGCGGAAGAUGUGAUUGCUUCUCCCCAAUAAGAUAUCGGUGUUUUUGCUGCUAUCAAGGAAGCACAAACAACCUCUAACAAGUGCCGAUUUUUUCAUUCAACGACUCCAUUUUGCUAGGGUGUAUUGGAACAAGUAGUUUGAUGAAUGAUGUCAUGUCCUUCCAAAUACUUUUGAAGAUCAGAACUUUGAUAUUCUCCACCAUUAUCACUACGCAGAACCCGAACCUUUGCAUUGUACUGAGUUUCAAUCACUUUAUGAAAAUUUUGAAACAACAAGUUCACUUCAUCUUUGGUCUUCAUCAAGCAUAACCAUGUCAUUCUGGUACAAUCAUCAAUAAAAGUAACAAACCAACAUGAGCCACUCAAAGUUGGGACUUUGGAUGGGCCCCAAACAUCAGAAUGUAUAACCAUAAAAGGAAACAGACUUUUAUUUAAAAUUAACAUAAACGAAGCACGAUGACUUUUAGCCAAUUCACAAAUAUCACAACGGAAACCAGAAAUAUCACUCUUUGCAAACAAACUAGGAAACAAUUUUUUUAAAUAACCAAUGGAAGCAUGUCCCAAAUGUCGAUGCCACAACCAAAUUUCAGAUUUUUUCUUCUCUCCCUCAGAUUCAUAUGUCAUCCAGAUUCAUAUGCCAUCAAGGCUUGUUGCAACUUAUUUGAAUCCUUUGACUGCAAGUCCAAGUAAUAGAGUUUUCCCCGCUUAAUACCACAACCAAUCGUUUGUCUUGUUUGGAUGUCCUUAAUCACACAAAAUUCAGGCAAAAAAAUGACAAUACAAGAUAAGGCUGCAGUAAUUUGAGAAACUGACAAAAGAUUGUAAUCUAAAGAUGAAACAACUAAAACAGAAUCCAAAUUCAAAGUAUCAAUAAGAGUUAAGGAUCCUUCCCCAAUGACUGGGGUUGUGUUACCAUUGGCUGUGGAAAUAAUUUUUUGUGAGGAAGGUCUAAAGGUUGAAACCUGUCUAGAAUCAAAAGUCAUAUGAUCUGUAGCACCAGAAUCAAUUAUCCAUGCACUAUUAAUAACAGGUGUAAAAGUAUUUAAAAACUUACCACCAUGAUCUGUAGCGGCUACCAAUGCAGAGGCUUUCUCAGCAACAUUAGUCUCUGUUUUUAUUUCGGCAAUAGUUGCAGUUGAGGUUUUCUUGGAAUCCUUCUUCCGUUGAUCACGAUUAUUAUCAUUAAUAAUAAAGUGUUGAUAACCUAAACAUGAUUUAAAGGUCCAUAGUUCAAACCUCGGUUCCUCAUUUUUUUCCUGAUCAUACCAAGAGUCGUUGCUUUGAAAUUGUGGGAUAUCCAGACUGGUGGGAUCAGUCUUAUUGCAGUGAGUGCAUGUCUUAAGAUGGUUGAUCGCUGUCGGACUACCAUAGCGACAAAAUAUCCAGGAUUUUAGUUUCAUGGCUCUGAUACCAUGUUCAAAUUGAUAAAUAAUAGUUUUUUCAUUCAUAUUUUCAUUCGUUCAUGUACAGAGUAUAUAUAGAAGGUAUCACCAUUUUAAGAAUGGGAAAGAAUGAUACAAGGAAAGAAUGACAUAAGGAAAUAACAAUUAAUAUUCUAAUAUCUCAACUUUCCUAAUAUCUCAACUUUCCUAAUAUCUAAACAUUCCUAAUAUCUCAACACUAAAUGAUAUAAGAAAAUAAUGAUAUAAGGAAAGCAUUCCUAAUAUCUCAACACCUAGAAACCCCUUGCAAAAGCCAAUCCAGAUCUUUCGUGCUCUCAAUGGAGAUGACUUCUACAUUUGCAGAUUUCAGGUUUGUGUUUUCCCGAUAUUCCAUGUUCAGAUGUUAUGUGAUUAUCCCCAGUAGUAAAGAAUAAAAUGCAGUGGUGAUCGUAACAAUGAUUGAGAGGGUAAUUAAAUGAUGGAAAUUUUGUUGCAGGAGCCUGGAAUGGAAGCUGCGCUUGCUGAGAUUGGUCCUGCCAGAGUUUUGAAAUCUGCUCUCACAAGCCGCAAAACUGGUCCACCUCGUUUACCAGAAGGACAGCAAGCCUUUGCAGGCACCCCAGAUGUCUUGCCCUCCUGGCUGUCUGAAGAAGAAGUUAAUUAUUAUGUUUCCAAGUAUGAGAGGACAGGGUUCACUGGAGGCUUGAACUACUACCGAAAUAUGGACCUGUAUGUUACCUUCAUACUAAUUAAUUUCACUCGUCGUCAUAUAUAUAGUCUGUGUUCAUAUAUUAUAUGUUUAGAUCAUGCUAAAUAGCUUGCUGCUUCCAUACCCCUUUAAUCUCUUUGGUGAAGCUCUAUUUUUCCAGAUGGUCAUUGCACACACGCAAAAAAUUUGAUUUCAUUCAACCUCUCUCAUGACUCUGAACCCAAUUGACCGAGAGCCCAUUGCUUGAUUGGUUAAUUAUCCUCUUGUCCCGUGAAAUAACUGAUUUUAUGUGGUUGAGCAUAUAUGGUAAUUUUAAUUUUCCUCUAUAUUCUUUAAUGCAGAAACUGGGAACUCACAGCAGCCUGGGCUGGGAGUCAAAUCAAAGUGCCAAGUAAGUUUGUUGUGGGCCACCUGGACCUUACAUAUAACACCAUGGGCUUCAAGGAAUUUAUGAAGAAUGAUGAGUUCAGGAAACAUGUGCCAUUUUUGGGGGAAAUAGUUGUGAUGGAAGGAGUGGGCCACUUUCUGCAUGAAGAAAAGCCAGAUGAGGUCAACCAACACAUCCAUGAAUUCUUUCAGAAGUUCUGAUUUUCUUUUAGGUAUCUACUAUCUGCACAACCACAGCUCUUCAGCUCUGUCUUGAACGCAAUAUUUUGAAACUGUUCUUUAUCUACUUGUCUUUUUUAACACCCCCAAAAAAAAAAAUUGUGGACACUGACUGCUUACUUGCCAAAAAUGACCAUGUACACACAUCCAAAUAAACAAUUGUUUUUGGUGGGACUCUGUGAUCAAUGAGUAGGAAAUUUCAAUAAAAUUGGAUGCCGGCCUUUAUCUAUAUGUAUGUAGAUAUCAAUAGGGGAUCCCAUACUACCACUACCGGAAGGAUUCCUCUUUGGCUAAUAGGGCGUUUUACUCUAUUGAAUCAACUAAAAAAUUAUAUUAAAAAAAAUAAAUUAUCAUUUUUCUUUGGGAUAUAAUCCCCCAUGAGAAAGACAAAGAAAGCUGGCGACACCUUUACAUCGUCUGUAUCUUAUGAGUGUUUCGUUUGGUUUUCCAUGGAAACAAACAAAACCGUCUCUUUUUGCGCUACAAAACCCAAGCGAGCCUCAACAGGUUCUUCACUGUUUCACAUACUUCACAUAGAGAUAGAUUACAGGGAAAGAGCGAGAAAGCGAUGGAGGGUGUUGAGCACCGGACGGUGAAGGCCAACGGGAUUAAUAUUCAUGUAGCAGAGAAAGGAGAAGGUCCGAUCAUUCUAUUCAUUCAUGGCUUCCCUGAGUCGUGGUACUCCUGGCGCCACCAGAUCCACGCUCUUGCUUUGCUCGGCUACCGGGCCGUGGCUCCUGACCUCCGCGGUUACGGUGACAGCGACGCGCCGUCGGAUGUGGGCAGCUACACCUGUCUCCACGUGGUCGGGGACCUCAUCGGAGUUCUGGACGCCAUGGGCGCUGAUAAGGUGUUCGUGGUUGGACAUGACUGGGGAGCCAUUAUUGCUUGGUACCUGUGCUUGUUUCGGCCUGACAGAGUGAAGGCUCUGGUGAACAUGAGCGUGGCCUACUUUCC
rnacentral:lncRNA from 1 species